CUACGGAGGGUGCAAGCGUUAAUCGGAAUUACUGGGCGUAAAGCGCGCGUAAGCGGAUAUUUAAGUCUCAUGUGAAAGCCCUGGGCUCAACCUGGGAACUGCAUGGGAUACUGGGUAUCUAGAAUACAGUAGAGGGUAGUGGAAUUUCAGGUGUAGCGGUGAAAUGCGUAGAGAUCUGAAGGAACAUCAGUGGCGAAGGCGACUACCUGGACUGAUAUUGACGCUGAGGUGCGAAAGCGUGGGGAGCAAACGGGAUUAGAAACCCUAGUAGUCC
rnacentral:rRNA from 1 species